GGGGGGAGUGAGCGGAGUGAUCGGCUCGCUUUUGGGUGUCAAUGGAGGAGAGAUUUGCUGGGGAGAGGGGCAGGAGCCUGGGCCUGGUAUCUGACAUCAAUAAAUGCCGCCGGUGCAGUGGCGCCGCUCUGCUUCACCGGAGGAGGGGAUGGCGCCGGAGAAAGAUGGAAGAGGAGUGCCUUUCUUGCCCGGCGGGGCGAGCGGUUUGCGUCAUGCGUCCUUUGUGACAAGACGGCUGACAUCGCCACACGAGCGGCCACCCAUUCAGGAACACCUGUGGAUUCGACUGCGCGUCAGAGACCUCCGUCCUUGAACACGUUGCAGAGAAAGACCCAUAGAGAGAGAGAGAGAGGGAGAAAGAUAAGGGGGAUGGCGCCGGGUUUUGUUGCACGUAUUAAACAUGGAAUGGUCGGUGGUUAUUCCCUCUGAAAGAGGUACCCAAG
rnacentral:lncRNA from 1 species